GACGAACGCUGGCGGCGUGCCUAAUACAUGCAAGUAGAACGCUGAAGGAGGAGCUUGCUUCUCUGGAUGAGUUGCGAACGGGUGAGUAACGCGUAGGUAACCUGCCUGGUAGCGGGGGAUAACUAUUGGAAACGAUAGCUAAUACCGCAUAACAGUAGAUAUCGCAUGAUAUCUACUUGAAAGGUGCAAUUGCAUCACUACCAGAUGGACCUGCGUUGUAUUAGCUAGUUGGUGAGGUAACGGCUCACCAAGGCGACGAUACAUAGCCGACCUGAGAGGGUGAUCGGCCACACUGGGACUGAGACACGGCCCAGACUCCUACGGGAGGCAGCAGUAGGGAAUCUUCGGCAAUGGACGGAAGUCUGACCGAGCAACGCCGCGUGAGUGAAGAAGGUUUUCGGAUCGUAAAGCUCUGUUGUAAGAGAAGAACGAGUGUGAGAGUGGAAAGUUCACACUGUGACGGUAUCUUACCAGAAGGGACGGCUAACUACGUG
rnacentral:rRNA from 1 species